rnacentral:rRNA from 1 species
ACGAACGCUGGCGGCGUGCUUAACCCAUGCAAGUCGAACGGAAAGGCCCUGCUUUUGUGGGGUGCUCGAGUGGCGAACGGGUGAGUAACACGUGAGUAACCUGCCCUUGACUUUGGGAUAACUUCAGGAAACUGGGGCUAAUACCGGAUAGGAGCUCCUGCUGCAUGGUGGGGGUUGGAAAGUUUCGGCGGUUGGGGAUGGACUCGCGGCUUAUCAGCUUGAUGGUGGGGUAGUGGCUUACCAAGGCUUUGACGGGUAGCCGGCCUGAGAGGGUGACCGGCCACAUUGGGACUGAGAUACGGCCCAGACUCCUACGGGAGGCAGCAGUGGGGAAUAUUGCACAAUGGGCGGAAGCCUGAUGCAGCAACGCCGCGUGCGGGAUGACGGCCUUCGGGUUGUAAACCGCUUUCGCCUGUGACGAAGCGUGAGUGACGGUAAUGGGUAAAGAAGCACCGGCUAACUACGUG